GGCAGGCAUCAGGAUUCGUGGAGCCCCGGGCAGGCCGGGGGAGGCAGCGGCUCUGGUGGAGCCCCUGGUGGGCCGGGCCGGGCCAAGCCGAGCCGAGACGGGGGAGGCACCGCGCCACCGAGCAGCCCCGACGGUGACCCCGGAGUGCGGCGGUGUCGCCGCACGCUGUCGAACAGCGGGUUAAGUGUCAGAAAAGCAAUCCUGCUCCUCGACUUUUCCAGGUUCGCCGACCUCAAAUUACGCUCAUGUUGGAAGGGAAAUUUGUUGCGGUGCAGGACCGAGCCUAGGAGGGACAAGGCCCCGCCUCCGGGACUCCCUCACGGCAUUCUCACCCAGCUGUGUUUCCAACUCAGUCCUUUUCCAAAGGAAGCCUGGUCAGGAGCACCAACACCUUCUAAUGCUUGGAAACCUGGGGCCAUCCUAGCACUGUGCAAGUACAAAUGACCUUCUUUGUACUCAUUAAACCUUGGCUUAGUGGGCUGUGAGCUGAGAAUAAGGAGGCUGCAUUCUUGCAGCAAGGAAGACUGGUGGUAUCCAGACUGCCCAAACAGCAGGCAGCACAAGCAGCAGAUUGAGUGCAGGAUUUAUCAGACUCUGCUUGGCACUCACUAGACCUUAUCAGAAAUCCUAUAUUCAAUUGUGGGACCUUUAUACAAGAUGCUGGCAAACUGGACAAAGUUCAGAGGGGGGGCACUGAGAUGGUUGGUGACAAUCUGCAAGAAGGAGCUGCAGGGCUGAGGCUUUUUGAGCCUGAGGCAGAUAGCUUCAAGGGCAGUUAACUGCAUCCUCCAGUAUCCCAUAGGGAAUGGAUGGAAAAGACGGAAGUGGGUUUACCACAGCAGACCAUAGCAGGAAGGCAAGAGACAAAAGAUCAACUGAAACAGGAAAUUCCUGAGGAUAUUAGGAACAACUUUUUUCCCCCUGAAGGUAAGUCAAGAGUCAGAGCAGGUUACAGAGAGAGGUUGUGCAGUCCACCCUUGGAGAUUCUUAAGACAAUCUGGUGCGAUCUCACGUCUGACCCUCCUUCAAGCAAGAGAUUGGACCAGAGACCUCCGUACAUCCUUUCCAGCCUGAAAGACUCAGUGCUGCUACAGAAGUCAUUAGUUCGGUUUCUGAGGUUUGUAAGCUGACUCUCAAUAGCCUGUAUACAAGGAUGAAGUUCCAAGCUCCACUUAUUGGUCUAGUUUCCUGUGAUAGGGCAAUAUAUGCCUCUUUUUUUUAAUUAAUUACAAUUAUCUGUGUUACCUGUUUCUGCUAUGUCAUCCUUACACAUUUCAUCUGACAUAGAAUACUUAGAAACAUUUUCAAAUAAUUAACUGGAUCAGUAUAUGCAAAAUUCAGGAAUAUUUGUGCACCUGUGAAUACAAGUAACCUGAAAUCUGGUUAGAAAAAGUUCAGAAGACAUUAGUGGAAGAGCUGUUACACAAAAAAAAUACAAACUUGAUGAUUAUUAUCAAGUAUAUUCCUAAAUUCUGCCUAUGAAAGUUAUGUUAAAUUUCAGAAUUCCAACUCCACACUAGCUAUAAAGUCAAGCUGGCUAACUGUUGACAUUAAAUCAAUACUUAAAUGUAAUGAUAAUAUGCUUUUUAAAAACCCAAAAAAUGGACAGUGUAAGCAAUCUAGCCCUGUCUUAAUGACUAAUGACAGAUGUCUCUCAUCCUCCAAUUUUGGUGAGUACCAAGUAUGCAAAGAUUUGUACAGACAGCAAUCUAGGUUUAACAGUGAUACAUAUCUGAGGUAGCAAAUGCAAACUAUGAUACUGAGAAACAAGAAAAAGACCAAGCUGGAUGGAGCUCUGAGUGACAUGGUCUAGUGGGAGGUUCCCUGCCUAUGACAAGGGGGGUGGAACUGGAUGAUUUUUUAGGUCCCUUCCAAUCCAAACCAUUCUAUGUUUUAUUAGAAGAGUUCAAAAAUCAUAAAUCAUACCUUAAAAUAGAUUAAACUUACUUUAAAUGUGUAAUCUUAAAAAUCUGUAUAACUGUCACGCCUUUGCUAUAUUCUCUGCAAGUGCAUAUCACCGUCAAGGGUGGGUUUGCAGGUUCUUCUUCAGCUGUAAGGGAAACCUGUUUCUAUUUUUUUAACACGGAAGAUGAGCAUACUAUGUAGUUGAUUUCAAGAACUGGAACUUCAAAAAGAAGACAGAACAUUGAAUGUGAAAUUAGAGUUAGGAGCAAAUUCCUGUACCUUGAUUAGAAGUAGUCACACAAUAUGAACAGGGAUCAUAAAGAUCUCCAAAUAUAUUGUGCAUUAAAUGAAACAGAAAAAAAUAGAUAUGCUAUGUGACUGACUUCUUGUAGGAUUGUUUUCUACACACAAAUUGGAACUUCUAAAUGUGUCAGCAUGUGGUCAUCUGGCUCCAACAGCAGGCACAAGAGGUACUACCAAAAACUGAGGAAGAGGUACUACCAAAAACUGUCUAUUUUUAUAAUACCAGCAGAGAAAUAAUCAAAUGUCUUAAUUCUGCUAGGAAAUGAUGACUGAUUAAAAACAUGGUUAUAUAUCCUUCUC